GUGAGAUUUGGUGGGAGAAUAAUACAGCUAAUUGUGUAUGUGCGAAAGGGUUUGGUGUGAAACAGAGUGACUUGAUCUAGAUGAAUGAAAAGCCGUGUGGGGGAAUUGUGAGACAUCCUUAUUGCUAUGUAGGCUGCAGCAGAGGAUUGAAACAGCUGGUGGAUAGGGCAGCGCUCCAGGAUGUUGGCGUCCACGUGAGUUCCUGAGCUGAAGUCUGCAGAGCACCACCAUGACCCGGAAGGCAUACAGAACUUGGAGUGGAGGGAUCAGGAUUCAGAGCACGUUUCAGCGCUACACCGCAGUAUCUGGCACGUAGAAGGAAUUCAGAAAUACUGAAUGAAGGAGCACCUG
rnacentral:lncRNA from 1 species